UACAGAGGUCUCAAGCGUUGUUCGGAUUCAUUGGGCGUAAAGGGCGCGUAGGUGGCGCCGCAAGUCAACGGUGAAAGCUCGACGCUUAACGUCGAGUCGGCCGUCGAGACUGCGGGGCUCGAGCACUGUAGAGGCUCAUGGAAUUCCGGGUGUAGCGGUGGAAUGCGUAGAGAUCCGGAAGAACACCGGUGGCGAAGGCGGUGAGCUGGGCAGUUGCUGACACUGAGGCGCGACAGCGUGGGGAGCAAACAGGG
rnacentral:rRNA from 1 species